CGCCCUAAAAUAUCUAAUAUUAAAAAGAUUCAUUCCACAAAUAAAAAAGAAAAUAGACACAUAUAACAUUUUUCAUAAAAUAAAAUUAUAUGCACUCACAAUUAUUAUAAAGGCACCUCCAUCUUAAAGGAGUGUGACACCUUUGUUUACACUAUCAAUAAUUUAUUCACUUUUUAAUAGAGAAGGAACGUUUCACACAAUCACAAUUAGAAGAAAUGCACUUCCGAAUUAAAGGUCUAUGACAUGCCCUUGUUUCACAAUCUUCGUCCCGUUCGCAAGGCCAUGGAAUAACUACAAUGUCAAAUAAAAAUAAAAGACUGUUAAUUAUUAUAGGUGGUCAAAUAUUGUGGGAAGAAAUAGUGUUAAAUAUUGUAUAUAUAAUAUAAAAGAAAAUUUAAAAAUAGUGAGAAGAAAUGAUUUACGAGAUGGCGUUCUUAAUCCAUCAAGUACAACAAGAAAUAUAGAAAUAAAGAUUAUCAAAGUAUAAAUAAACUUGAGAAGUUUAGUCAUAGUUUUUCUUUUUUGCAUGCAACAAAUUGAAAAUCGUUUGAUCAUUUUAUAUGUAAAAACUCUAUAGUUUGUUAACUAUAAUUAAAUAGAUCGCAGCACUUUCGAGUUGCAAUAAGUCUAUCAUAAUUUUAUUGUCAAAAAAAAAUGUCUAUCAUAAUAUUGUAAUUUUUGUUAAAUGUCUCUAAGAUAUAUUAAAGUGUCAUGUUUAUUUGAUAAGUUAAUUGCUUCGAACACUUAAACCUUAGUAAAGGUCGCACAUAAAAAUCUUGGUGAUGAUCAAUGGUGACUUUUUCUUGUAUUAUAUUAUUUCUAUUUUAGCCUUUCACAAUAGGCCGAAAAAAAAUCACAAACGAUUAAUAAAUGUGAUAAAUUAUGAAGAAAAAAAAUAAUUGUAAAAAAUAAUGCAUCAAAGAGGUGGUAACACAUUAAUUUAUAAAUUCAACUUUCCAUUGGAUUAUACUUUUUUGCCAAAAUUAUGGGAUAAAAAUAUGGUGAAGUCUAUUUGUAAAACAUCUCUCAAUAUUUUUUUUUGCUCAUACAUCUCUCAAUAUUGAAGGAUAAUUUGUUUAAAAACAAUAACACGUAAUUAAAAAUUAUGAAAGACAAGGCUUAAGUAAAAAGGACAACGGAAAGUCCUUGACUUUACUUCCUCCGUUUUUUUAGGUGUCCAUUUAAAAUACUAAUAACUAACAUUGUUUAUAAAAAAAUGUAUUUUUACACUUUAUUUUCCUAUUAUAUCCUAAUUUUAAUCCACCAAUAAAUUUUUAUUUUUUUGCACACACUUUUUCUUUUCAAUAAAUUUAAUAUAUUAUGUAAAAAAAAAAUUACUAAUAUGUUAUGUGCCAAAAAAGUUUUUAAAAAAAACUUUAGUUUUCCAAAUAUAUAGCAUUAAUUAGUAUUAUUGAAAAAGAUAAGAGUAAUGAUGUCAUAAUGUCAAAACAGCAAGAACUUGACAGAACAGUACAGGACAGAACAACAUAAUACAGGACAAGACAAAACUGUACCGGAGAGAUAUAGAGCGAUAAUAUUUUUAUAUUUGAAAAUAAAACGGGUAUUUUUGUAUUUUUUAUAGUUGUACUGUGGACAAAAAGUUGUCUUGUGAUUUAUUGAGGGACUAAAAAUCUUGUUUUUGUCUUGUCCCUUGCUACCUAAUUUGUCCAGUCCCAUAACUAUCAAACAGGAUACAACAAAAGUUGUCCAGUCCAGUCCCCUAUUUUUUAGCAGAUCAAACGCAUACAAUUGAUAAAUCCCCUUAAAAUAUCAAAUGUACAGUUAGCUGCUGGGUACUAAAAAAAGGACUGCUUAUAUGUGGGCAAUUGAUACUCCUUAUUCAAAGGUGAAGGAGGACCUUGUAUACUAUCCUAACAAAAGAUGGAACGAACAAAUUAUAAACCAAAUAUUUUUCCUUAUGGAAGCCAUUCAACCUUGACCAAGAUGUGAUGUCCUAAUCUGGCAGGGGCCACUGUACAAUGAGGCUUAAAAACCAAUUUGGUACCCGCAAUACUUCCAAGCCCCUGUGUUGACCACUUUGCCCUUAAAAACCAUUUUGGUACCCGCAAUACGAAACAAGACUAUUUUGGUACGUAACUACUGAAUCGGUGAAAACGCUACAAAAAAAAAACGUGCUUAANUGUGGUAUCUUGUGUUCUUACUGCGCUAUUUUUGAGGAGGUUCCAAACCCCCGCAAAAUAUGCAAAAUAUGUAAAAAAAAUCAAACAUUCUCCAGCACUAGAUUAGCGCUAGAUGUGGAAACAUAAAAGUCAUGGAAUGUUUGAACAAAAUUAGCAUUAUCACAUUCCAUGGAAAAAUCAAAAUUAGCAUUAUCACAUUACUAUAGAAUAGACUGAAAGUCAUGGAAACAUCAUAACAAAAUUAAUUUUAUGGCUAACAAAACUGAAGCAUUUAAGGGUAAGUUAGCAAUUGAAUCCUUUUUCCAAAUUACCUCUUCAGCUGAAAUCAUUAUUUUUCAUAGCAUUGAGCCAAAAUGAAGACACUCUUUUCUCUGCCUAAGUCACAAGCAAAUCGCCUAAACAAUUAAAGUGUAAGGUGUUGGCAGUUCCUAGUUAGUUACUACCUUUAACCUCAGCUGUUGCUUCAAUUGUUACCCCUUCCACUCCAGUGAAACUUGCAUAUUUUUAUCUCACAAUAGACAGACCGAUGCAGCAGAUUCCUCACCUAGUAUAUUCAUUCACUUUUUAAAGCUUUAGAUCACGAAACAACAAUCAUUAACAAGCUGAUGGCAUAAGAAGCAAGCAACAGGAGGAAAAUCGAUGAUGAAGCACCUUUACUUGGGACUCGAGUUUCAUCGGAUGGAAAGAAUGUGACAGCUGCUGCAGACAAACUAGUGGAAUCAAUUUUGCAGGUCCACAGAACAAAUACUCUGCAAUAACACAAGCACAACAAGAUGGUUGCACUGGAAAUUAUAAGAUUUUUGACUCAUCGUAUGACAAUUUUCUAGUACCUGUAGUUCCAACUAGUUUUUUGUAAUUUACAUUAACUUUUAGCGAUAGACGAUUUCAGUCAAUAAAAGAAAUGUGUCCGUAGAUAAAAGUCAAUAGAACUAUGAAAAUAUUCAGAAAAAUUGCAUAUAUUAAGCAGGAGUCGGAAUUCGAACCUCAGACACUCCACUUAUUCACCUUUAAGGUGGAUUUUCUAGUCAUUAGGCUACUAAACAANNNNNNNNNNNNNNNNAACUAUGAAAUAUAUAAAUUAUUUGUUUCAACUUACCUACAGAAAGUGUUUGUCACUAAAUUUUAGGCAAAAAUGCCAUAAUAUUGUUGGAGCUGAUAUGUUUCUGUCACUAAAUUAAAGUCGAUUUAAAUUAAAAACUGAUAUGUUACCUCAUUUGUUCAAUUCUUUUGAAAACUACAUUUGUUUGAUGCAUAAUUGGCUCCCUAAUGAUAUUUUGAAUUUGCUAAUUGCUAUUCCUCCACUAGAUGAUGAACAAGGUGACGAUGCAUGCAAAAGCUUCUGGCCUCAAGGAAAGAAUGGUAACUUUUCUAUCGCAUUAGCCUAUGAGCUAUUGACAGCAACUGAGCCUAAUAUUUUUUUUAAAACUUGGUAUCCGGCCUUAGAACCAACUAAUUCAAGGGGAUCAAUCCCACCGUCCACUUGCGGGAGCCCCAUUUAAAGCCAGAGUUUUUUCUCUGUAUGGACUUAGCCCACUUAAAAUUGGCGUCAGGGAGAAUCGAACCUGAGACCUUAAGAGGAGUAUACUCCAAGGACCCAAGCCAACACCACUAAACCAACCAUAAGUGGGUUAACCGAUCCUAAUAUUAAUACAGAAAGAUAGUCAUUGGCAUAUGAUUUGGAUGAUAGAAGUUUCAGAGACAGAAAGGAGCUUUAUAUGGGUUUUGAAACAUGGUGAUAGCAUAAAACAACAAACAAUAAUAUCAUAAAACGGCAAAUUGCAUAAGCCUACAAGUAUUUGGAAUAUUCAUGCAUCCGUAUGGGUAGCGUUGAUCAGCAGCGGACCUAGGGGUGGACUCAGAUGGGCCACGGCCCACCCCCACCCCCAAAAAUUAAUUUUUUAUAUGUAGGGUAUUAAUUUAAAUGUAUUAUUAAUAAUUUUAAGUCACUUAGUGUGUGUAUAUAUAUAUAUAUUAAUGUAAAUAUUAAUUUAGAGUAUAAUAUUGAUGAUUAUAAGUAACUCGGUACACAUAUUAGUUCAAGUAUUAGUGUAAAUGUUAAUUCAUAAUUAAUUGAAUUUAUAAUAUUAGAUAAAAUUAGCAAUUGAACUAACAUAUAUAAAUAUGAAAUGACAUAAAAAAAAAUUAUUGUUAUGAAUAUUAUUGGUGGAUGUUCAUAUAUGUUCUAGGCCCAUGUAAUUGGCCCACUAUAUUUACCUAUAUAUAUAGAUACUAUAUAUCAUUGUAUUGUAACCCUAAUCCUAGUGGUGAAUAACAUACACUAUUCAUUCUCUCUUUUCUCUCUUCUCCAUCUAUACUAUUGCUCAUAUUUAAAUUAGUUUAUAACACAUUUAUAUUAGUUUAUAACACAAGCUUACCAACUGAGGUACGCAACUGUUAUUCUAUUUUUACAGAUCACAAGUAAUUUUUAGUUUUGAUUAUUAUAUGGUUAUGAAUCGUUUGAACCUUGUAUACUUAUAAAGAUCAAAUAAUAAUGAUUAAAAUUAAAUAAAUAAAUAAAUAAAUAAACAUAAUUUCUUUAUGUAUUUAAUUGAUUCGAUGUUGUUUACGCUUCGUGAUAUCCGACAUUUUUUUGUGAAGCAUAACACUUUGAUCAUUCAUAUUACAUAAAAUGUUGAUCAAUUAUUUAUUUAUUUACAAUAUAUAUUUUGAAUGUUCGAUAUUAUUUGAGUUUCGUGACCGACACUCGUAUGGUGAAACAUCGACAAUUCGAUCAUCCAAAAGAACAUAAUAAGCAUGUUUAUUUAAUUUUGGCUAUAAUUUAGAACCCUUAUUUUUAAUUCUUCUGCUCCAGAACCCUAAAGGUAGACAAUUCCUUUCACUAAUCUAUUUGAUGAAAGUAGAUAAGCUGUAGUUUAUGUCUAUAAUCACAGCCGUACAUAUUAUUAUGGCUAUUGUUCAAUCACCUAACCCUAUUUUAAUUUAUUUUUUUAUUGAAUCAAUAUUUAAAUAACUAGAACUCUGACCCAUGCGGUGCAUGGGUCUAAUUAGCUGUAAUAUAUAACAAUAAAAAAUAAAAUACAAAAAUUCUAAGAGCAUUUUCAAUAAGAGUAGUAUAGGGAAUUUCAUUGACUAAUUAUUCUAUAUUUGUUUAUGUGCUUAUUUUAUAUAUUUUUUAAAUAAUUUUUGAACCACAUCAUUUUGAUUACUUAUUAAAAAAAAAUUGCUGAUAACUGAAGGUUAAAAUAUUGAUGAUAAUUAAAGGUUAAAUAAAAUUAAAGACACAAUCAAGAACAUAAACUUAAGUAGACAUCCAUAAAUAAAUAAAAAUUGUGAUUAAUUCCGUCAUUCAAAUUUAUUGAAAACANNNNNNNNNNNNNNNNNNNNNNNNNNNNNNNNNNNNNNNNNNNNNNNNNNNNNNNNNNNNNNNNNNNNNNNNNNNNNNNNNNNNNNNNNNNNNNNNNNNNNNNNNNNNNNNNNNNNNNNNNNNNNNNNNNNNNNNNNNNNNNNNNNNNNNNNNNNNNNNNNNNNNNNNNNNNNNNNNNNNNNNNNNNNNNNNNNNNNNNNNNNNNNNNNNNNNNNNNNNNNNNNNNNNNNNNNNNNNNNNNNNNNNNNNNNNNNNNNNNNNNNNNNNNNNNNNNNNNNNNNNNNUAUUUCGUGAUAAGUAAUAUAGUCAACAAUAAUUUUGAUAUGAUAUACUUUUAAAAUUGAUGGUGCUUAUCAAUUAUUGCACAUAAUUUUAAUCACAAUUGGUAUACUUGCUAUAGUGGUUGGAAAUAUUGUCUUGUACUGAAGGGUUGCGGGUUCGAAUCUUAUUCAAGACAAAAUUAUAUUAUUUUUUAAUAAAAAUUGAAAGAUAAAAUGGAGGGAAAACAAAUUAGGGUUUAGAGUUUGCUUAUGUAUACAAGCUUAUAAUAUAAAAGAUUAAUCGAUAUAUCAUUCUGGUAUAUUAUUUGGGUUUGUAAGAAAUUGUGCCUUGAAUUUGUUGAGACUUGAGAGAGAGAGUUGUACUUACGAAUGAUAUAUAUAGUCUCUAUCAAUUGGUAUGAAUAAUAUGAUCGUUGUUCAAAAAAUGAAUAUUCAACAAUUUUAAGUUCUCGAAGAACUAAUAAAUUUAAUAUUAUGAAUUCUCGAAGAAUUCAACAAACUUAGUUCCUGAAGAACUAAUAAAUUUAAUCUAUGAAUUUGGUAAACUUAGUUCCAGAAUAACUAAGAAAUUUAAUAUUUUAUGAAUUCCCGAAGAACUUAAGAAUAUAAUUUAUGAAUUUUUGGAACAAUUCACUAAUCUAAUUCCUGAAGAACUUAAAAAACUCAAUUUUUUAUUGAAUUCCAAAAGAAUUCAAUAAUCUAGUUCCUGAAGAACUUGCGAAGUAUCACCAUAUUUCGAAAGAAUUUCAAUAAUCAUGCAUCCCUGAUGGAUUGCACAUAGAACUGAUAUUAUAUUGUUUAGAUUAAUUCUAUUUAUUAUGAAUUCCGAAAGAAUUUAAUAUACAUGUAUUUUUAGAGUUUUGAAUAUUUUGAAUAAAUUAAGUGUAAUGAAAAAGUUAUAAACGAGAAGUUUAUUCUACACUUAUAUAUUAGUGCAAUUGAAACAUAAAUUAUUGUAAACCAGAAGUUUACACAUCGUAUAAAAUUUAUUGUUGGCAAUACCGGUUGGGUAUCCCGGAUGUAUUAUGAUGCGAAAAAAAUAAAAAAUCUAUAGGUAUGUAUUGAAGGGCCUGAAGUUCCUUCAUUCCAAUAAUUUUUAUGUGUUACUAGCUCACAAAAGAAAUUGAUAAUUUGAGAAUAUGGAUCAUUUAGACACUUUGUGACUUGAAUUGAUGCAUCAACUAAAUUGGUCACAUGCAUAUUUACUCACAACCAGAAGUUUGUGAGAUUAUUUUCUCAAAUAGUUUUGCUAAGAUCUCAUUUUCUAAAUUCUUAGAAAAUAUUUGAUAAGUAUUGUAUGUCAAUUGAAAUUGAUAUUGAACAGAAUAUGGUCAUACAAGAAAAAAAUGGACUUGAAGAUCUAUUCUUUAGACGUCUAAAGUUAAUUACAUGACUGAUACUUAUGAGAUCAUAACUUCUAAUUUAUAUUUUGGGAACAUUCAAACAUGUAUAUUGAAAUACUAAUUCGCAUCAAGCCAACAAGUUAUUAUAAGUUCUCCCCUAAUUUACAAUUUGAACUUUGUUUAUAAAUAUGAUUCCCAUGUAAGCAUUUUUGGAUGUGUUGUGUUUGUGCAAUUGUUCCAAUAGAAUGCAUUUAAACGGUUCUUAAAGAAUAUUGAGAAAAUGUAUUUGAUAUGAAUCUCCAUCUAUUAUAAAUCAUCUUGAGCCAAAAAUUUGAGAAUUAUUUACAGCCCUGUAGGCUGAUUUUCAAGUGAUGAAUUAAUUUUCCCAAUAUUAGGGGGGAGAAUAAGCAGCUGAAAAAUAUGAACCAGAAGUUCAAAUAAAUCACUUGAAAUAAAUUAAUGUUAUUAUCUCACAUUGAUCCUCAUAGUUUGAAUCAAAUGUUCAAAAGAUAAAUCAUUUGCAAAAUUUAUGAAAUCACCUAUUAGCUGCUAAUGCUCCAAUCAAAAUGGAUGUCCCUGUUGGACAAUCUUAUAUUGCAAAUCAAUAUUAACCACCCUGAAGUGUGGUAGAUCAGUCGAAUCCAAUGAUAAAAAUCCUCAAAUAAGAAUAGGAGCUAAAAAGAAAGAUGAUCCAAGUGAGAAUAUGAAAACUUCAAAAGAGUAUUUGACAUAAUUGAGUUUUAAGUUAUAGAAGAACUUCUUAGGUACUUGAAAUUUAUGAUAAUAAAGAGAUCUUGACGAAUUAUGUCAUGAAUGAAAAUUAAUGUAUGAAUGGAAUAUGAUGGAAUCGAAAGGAAGUCAACGUUGAUGAUAUUUUUAUAUAUAAUAUAGCGCUAUAUGUGAAAAGAGUUAAUGAGGAUCAUGAACUAAAUUCUAUUGAGAAUUAUAGACAAUGAUGGUCUAAAUGAAAAUACACAAUUGUUACCUAAAGCCACUUUGCAAAGUGAAAGAUCUUUGGACCCACAUUCCAUCACAAUUUUUUGAACACAAUAUUUAAUCACACAUACAUUGAAAUAUUUGUCACUUAAUACAUUAAAAAAUAUACAUUAUUUAAUUCUUUUAUCUUUAUGCAUUUUUUCACAUACAUGAGAGUGACCAAAUACAAGGUCUAAAUAAUUAAGCAUUGACUCAAAUGGUUAACAAGAUUCCCUUAAAACAAAUCCUUCAGGAAAACUCGAGUUUAAUUUUUGAUCAAAUUUUACUUAAUUCAUGGCCGAACUUUAUAUUACUAUGACCCUUUCUUCUUUAAAUCAAAGAAUUAAUACAAAAAAAAAAUCUAAAUGGUUGUGACUACAAAAGUCUUUUCUCCAUAAAACUACUACUUGAUCCCUCCGUUCAAUUUUAUAAGAUAUAUUUUGACUAAAUGCAUUAUUCAUAUAUCUUGUUUUGACCGUAAUUUUCUAAAAGUAUAUAAAUGUAAAUAUUAUCAUAUAAAAUAUUGUUUGAUUUGUCUCGAUGAAUAUUUUCAAAAUAUCAAAUUUCUAAAAUUUUUAAUAAUAGACAAUUAAAGAUAUUCAUAAUCAAAAUUAUGUAUUGACACAUGUACCGUGGUCAAUGUAUCCUUAUAUUUUUUUUGAUGGAGAGAGUAUUUAAUUAAGGAUGGUAAACACUUCAUUGUCUCUCCACACACCUAUGAAGCACGGACUCCGACACGGACACCGCGACAUGACACGGACACGGACACCACGACACCGCUAAUAUAAAAAAUAUAGGACACCGACACCGCUACAUAUUUAUAAAACAUAUAAAUUGAUAAUCAAAAUAUAUACAUGUAAAUCUAAUUUGAGCAAGUUAUAUUUUUAAAAAAAAAUUAAAACAAGAUAUGAUAGUAUUUUACCUUUAUUUAUCCAUCUACGAUCGAAAAAACUAAAAAUAUCGUAAUCAAAAUGUAAUGUCUUCAAUCCCACAUUGAUCAAUAUUGUUGUUNNNNNNNNNNNNNCCGAUCAAAGGAGUGUCAAACUAAAGAAAAAAUUGAAUUUUUUCCGACACCGAUAUGAGCUAUCCGACACGUGUCGGACGAGUGUCAUACGAGUGUCGGACACCGACACGUGUCGGACACCGCGAUACGCCUAAUCAUAGAGGUGUUGGUGCUUCCUAGCCACACACCCACAGUUAAAAGAAAUACACUUCGGAAUUAAAGGACGAUAACACGCCUUGUUGAAACAAUCACUGUUAAUUCCGCAAGGGAAUGGAGCAACUACAAUGUAAAAAAAAAAAUUGGUUACUAAUAGAUUGCAAAUAUUAUAAGUACUCGAUCGAUUUUUAUUAUAAGAAAUUUUUUAAUUUUUAAAUUCAUCCAAUAAUUAAUGUAAUUAGUUUAUAUUAUAGAUCAAAUACAUUAGACAUUCAAUAAAUUUAAAGUAGUAUUAGCUUUUUCUUAUAAAAAGGACGGACAAAAUAUAUGAUAUAAAAGAAAAUUUAAAAAUGAUUGAAGAAAUGACUUACACAUUGGUUUUCUAGGGCCGCCGCCAUCGGUUAUAACAAGAAACAUGAAAAGAAAAAUUAUCAAAACAUAAAUAAACUUCGAAAUAUGAGCCAUGUUUUUUUUCUCCUUUGCAUGCAAUGAAUUGGAAAUUGUUUGAUUAGUACUUUAUAAGUAAAAAUCCUAAAAUUUGUUAACUAUAAUUAAGUAGAUCUUAGCACUUUCGUUUGCGAUAAGCCAAUCAUAAAAUUUUAAUUUUUUUGUUAAAUGUCUCAAAGAUAUAUCAAAGCGUCAUACUCCGUAAAAAAAAUAAAUCAAAGCGUCAUGUUUAUUGGUAAGCUCAUUUAGACGGACACUUACUUUUUCCUGUCACUGUUAUAAGCAAAAAAUCACUUUUUAGAUUUAGUGAAAAUUUAAUGUUCUGGCUUAUAUUAUGAACUAAAUACAUAGUUUUUCAGUGAAUCUAAAAUAUAAUAUUUUGCUUAUAAUAGUGAUCGAAGUUACUACGAGUUAGUAAAACCUCACAUAAAUAUCUUGGUGAUGAUCAAUGGUGACAUAUGUUGUAUUAUAAUAUUAUAAUAUUUUUCUAUUUGUCUUUUAGUCUUUUAUGAUAUACAACAGAAAAAUUCCAAACGAUAAAUAAUUGUGAUAAAUCAUGUAGAAAAAGAAAUAGUUUUAGAAUUAAUGCAUUGAAGAGAUGACAACACAAUAACAUAUCAUAUGAGAAUGAUAAAAUUAUAUGAGAAUAAAUUGUAGUCAUUAAAUUUAAAUGAAAUAGUAGAAUUAAAAAAACAUCAUUAAGGAAGUCAUGUGAUUGUCAUGUGACAUUAUUAUUUCAAAUCAAGGAGAUUAAAAUUUAUUUAUUUAUUUGAGUUUCAAUUGUUUAUGCAAUUUGAACAAUAAACUAAAACAUGUUGGAUUUCUUCAUCUAAUCUUUUCUAUAUUUCUUUUCAUUUCUCAUGAGAUUAACUUUAUGUGAGAUUGAUUCCAAUUCUAGGCAGAAAAAAUCAGUGGGUUGAAGAAGAUGAACAACAGAUGAAUGAAUUUAUGAGAUAAAGUUUUAUUUUUUCCAAUUACAGGCAGAAUAAAUUUGUAUCAACCAGUGUUCCCUUGCUUCUUCACCUUAGUCAAGCAUGAUUUUUUAUUUCAGUUUUCCUCCAUUGAAAUAACCUUAAACUAUGAUGAAAGAAUUAAUUUUUAAUUUAAUUUAUUUGUUAAACAAAGAAAGGUGUGAUUCUCCUUGGAAGAUUAGAAAUAGAUGGAACAAUUGCAUGCACAACAUUACCAACAUGAACUUCAUGAUAUCCCAUAUAUAUAGGGAAGGUAACAAUUGCGAUGAUGCUCUUGCAAAAAUUGGUCUAACUCUACUGCACCUUUCGUUCUGGAAUGAAUUACCCCAAGCUAUAUUGAAAAGUUACUCUUCUGAUAGACUUGGUAGACCUAAGUAUAGAUUUUCUAAUAUGUAAGGAGAUUUUGGUUUAGUCCCCCUCCUUUUUUUGUAUCUUUCUCAUUUUUAUCUAUCUAUAUAUUUUGAGGUAGUAGCACUUUGCUACUCCUCUUUUGGUUUAAAAAAAAGAAAAAGAAAGGUGUGAUUUCUAUCCAAGAGAAGAGAGGGAGAAGGGUGUAGAUAUUAGAGAGAGAUACAGUGAAUCUGUUGAAGGCAUAUCGAUGAAAAUUAUUUGUACAUCUUCCCAUGAAAUUUAUUUCAAGAAAAAUACAAAAACAUAUACUUCAAAUUAUUAUAUUUUAUUUUUUUCUUAAUAAGUGUGAUUUUUAUUUUUUCUUUUAUAAUUUGGGACGUAGGGAGUAUGUUUUAAUCCUUGUUUUUUCUUUUGAAUCUAAUGGCUAUUAUUCAUUCUCAUAUUCUCAUGUAUCUUUGUCAUUCUCAUACGAUACAUCUUGUGACAACAAUUUAAAGGUCAAAUAUAUCUUCUGUUUUUUUAAGUUUGACGUUUAUAUCAUAUAAGUCAUUUCCGUGUUUUUUGUUUCAACGUUUGCAAUGUUAUCUUUUUUCAUCGAAUUUUGUUUUUUUUAAUGGUAAAGAGCUCAAAGUAUUACAUUCAUGAUAAUGUUAUUGAUACAAUUUGGUACAUUAGUAAAAAUAUGGGGAACUAGGAAAAGAUGUAACCAACCCAGUUUGUUCCGUAAAUAUUUAUUUUGGAAUGUGCUUGGAAUACACAGUUGAGAGACGGUCUAGGGUAAUAUUUUUAUUAGAUUAAACAUAAUUUGAAAUUUGGGGUUCAUUAAAAAAUUUCUUUUAGAAAUUUUGAACGAACAUGUCCGAAAUCGUUUGAUGCAGUUACGAUGCAUCCAUACACAUGAUUAAAAAUCACAUUGCAAUUGCGGUGUGUUGCAGUUAUAUAUAGAAACUAUCGCAUCAGUAAUAUUACAGCCGCUAGCAGGCAAGUCAGAAACUACAAAUUAGCCUGAUCCAAUGACCCACCUCAUGGAAUCAUAUUUACCUCAUCAUAUUUUUCACAUAAUCCCAAUUCACUAUGUCAUAAGUAUUGCUUAUAAAAAAAAAAACUAUGUCAUAAGUCUUGCUAAUAUCUUUUUUCGGUGUCAUAAUGUGAAGAAUGGAAUGAUUUUCAACAAACUUGGGUUGUUUUUGAAAAAUACAAUUUGGUAACAAGAUUUUCAUUCUAUUCGCCAACAUUUUUUAAGUUAUUUUAUCAAAAAAAUUACAUAAAGUAAUUGGAUGAAAAUCCUUCGUAGACAUAGGAUUAUCCUUUUUUUAAAAUGAGAACGAUUUUUAAUUAGGAUCAAUUAAGAUGAUAUAAUCAUAAAUUCAGUUGGUAGAGACAUUGCAUUAUAUAUGUAGGGGUGGAGUUCGAACCUCGAUCAUCCCAUUUAUCCACCUUAAGAGUAAAAUUUCUAACGACUAGACUAUUUUAAAAAAAAUAAUAUAACCACGGAUAGCAUAAUAUGGUAAGACACAUAUGAAACCCAACUUUCACGAACAGUUUUGGUAGUCGAUCUUUUAUUCAUUUUUAGCACUUUCAAAGUGAAGGACGUACGUCACAAAAAUAUUAAUAUUUAUAAAAUUUAAAUCACUCAGCAAUCUUAUGCUAAAUGCAAAAGAGAAUAAAUAAAUAGUCAAAUGCAACACUAUUUGUCAAAAAAAAAUAAAAAUGCAACACUACUUUUAUAUAAUAUACUAUAAUAAUAUAACACUUUUGAGCUCGUCAAAGAAAUUGAAAUAUCAUUGAUACAUAAUUGAAAUUGUGGGGGACAUUUAAAAAGUACUAACAUUAUUUUUUUAUUUUUUUUUAAUUUAUCAUUUUUUUAAUACCCUCUAUCACUAAAACGUUCCAUGCAUAAACAUUUGUAAUAAAUGCAAUACGGAAUUAAAGGUUUAUGACAUGCCAUUGUUUCACAAUCAUCGUCUUGUUCACAAGACCAUGGCUGCUUAACUACAAUAUCAAAUAAAAAUAAAGGACUGUUAGUUGUCAAAUAUUGUGUAUAUCGAGUGCAGAUCCUCUACGGUGAUAUAUUUAUGGAUGUGCUUUGUUAUAGAUCUCGGUCAUUCAAUUUUUUUUCAGUCAUAUGAAUGGUGUGAUAUAAAAAUAAAAUAGAUGGCUGAGAUGUCACCGUAAAAAAACUUGUUUUUUUUUUUACAGACCGUAGAAAAACUUUAUAUGAGUUGUAUAUCAUAUAAAAGAAAAAUUGAAAACAAUGUGAAAAAAUUACUUACCAGCUGGCCUUAAGACGCCAUUGGUUACGACAAGAAACAUGGAAAUACAGAUUAUCAAAGUAUAAAUAAACUUGAGAAGUUUAAUCAUAUUAUUUUUUCCUUUGCAUGCCAUCGAUUGAAAAUUGUUUAAUUAUUGUAUAACUAAAAACUCUAUAACUUAUUAACUAUAUAUAAUUAAAUAGAUCCCAGCACUUUCGUGUUGAAUUAAGUCUAUCAUAAUAUUGUAAUUUUUGUUAAAUGUCACUAAGAUAUAUCAAAGUGUCAUGUUUAUUUGAUAAGUUCAUUGGUUCGAACACUUAAACCUUAGUAAGAAUCUCACAUAUUAAAAAUCUUGGUGGCGAUCAAUGGUAACUAUUUCUUUUAUUAUAAUUUUCUAUUUUAGCCUUUCACAAUUUAUAAGAAAAUAAUCCAAAAUGAUUAAUAAUUGUGAUGAAUUAUAGAGAAAAAAAAUUAAUAUUGUAAAAAUAAUGCAUUUAAGAGGUGACAAUACGUUAGUUUAUAAAGAGUCGUGUUAACUUGUACUCUCCAAGCAUUAGUUAAGGAACUAAAAACAAAUAACACUUUUAUUGAAAAGAACAUCUAUUUUUAAAAAUAUUGACUACAUAUGUUUCAAGAUAAUUAUACCAUAUUGGUUUCUUCUAAACUAUAUCCCUUCAUAAUUUGGGGUAUUUACUUAUCAACCAAUGAAAACAAGUCACAUGCAUGUGAAAUAAAAGUUGGUUACUAGUUAGUUGUGGGUACCAUAUUUAAGGGUGUGUUUGGUAACACAAAUAAGCUAGCUUAUAGCUUAUUAUAUGAGCUUAUAAGCUUGUUUCAAAAAAUUAGAGGUGUUUGGUAACAAGCUUUUUUCCAGAUGCUAUUUCAAGUAGCAUUUGAGCUUAUAGCUUAUAGCUUUUUACACUUUAUUCCAUUUUUACCCUUUAAUUUAAUAACUACUCACUCUAAAAAAUAAACUACCCACUAUCAAUUAUGUAAUUUUAUAUUUAAUAACCACUUUAAAAGCUAAUUUUACCAAACACUUUAAUUUCAAUAAGCUAGCUUUUCAGCUAUCAGCUAUAAGCUAGCUUUUCAGCUUUCAGUUAGCUUAUCAGCUAGCUUGUAGCUUAUUUUUACCAAACAGACCCUAAAUCUACUCAUGUGGCUUGUUCUCAUUGCACUACAAGAAAACAAGGGUUUAUUGAGGGACAAAAGCCCUCAAUAAUGCACAAAAUUCGCCACAAUUGCAUGCAUUAUUGGUGGCUAAGGACCCUCUGGAAAAUGCUCGCCAGUAAUGUUUAUUGGCGAUCCAGGACCGUCAAUAAUGUUAUUGACAGCCUGCAGCCGCCAAUAAUGCACAUGGAAGAAUUGGAAGGCAACGAAAAGACAACGACAUUUGUGGCGGCCUGCAGCCGCCAAUAACGAGGGGGANNNNNNUAAUGUGCGGCGAAUUUAAAAAAAAAAUAAAUUUAAUUAUUUAAAAAUCAAAUUAAUUUUUAAAUAAUUAAAUUAUUUUUUUAAUUUAGAGUUUUAAAUAUUUAAUUUUAAAAAAAAUAUACUGCAUAAUAAAUAAUUAAAAAAUAUUAAAUAUAAUGUUAUUUUGACAAAAAAUAUUAAAUUUAAUUAAAAACACAAUAUAAAUACUUAACAUAAGCAUAAUUAAACAUAACAAUAAUAUUGUCAUUACAACCAAGCAUAAUUAAACAUACCAUCACAAAAAAAAUAAAAAUUAAACAUAAUAAAUUGUCAUUGGGUUACAACUAAUUAAAUCAAAAGAUAAUUAAAAUUACAUCAUGAUUAUCAUCGAUUCAAUAUUCGUCACUUGGUCGGUCAGGCUGAGUUUGUGGUUGUUUUCCCUUGCCGCUGUAUGUUGGCUCGCGCGGCCUCCCUUGGUCUCGGUCUCGGCCUCUACCUACCUCAAUUAUUCUUACUAGGGGGAGUGGGUUCGGUCGCACCAAAGGCGCCAAAGGUCGCGCCACAGUAGAAGGUGAACCAAAAGUACAAAUAUGCAGUUGUCCUACUAACUGGUAACAGGAUUUCUGAAACAUAUUUCGCUUUAGAAGGUGAACCGUCAUGUAGAGAUAAACUAAUGUGCCUCGGAUGGGUGAACCGCAACCAUUUCAUGCAAGUAACAUUAAAAUCGGACAGUCCAAUACCUCCAACCAAUCAAAUGUGGGUGCGACACCAUUUGAAAUCUGCUGACAAUUGGCAGAGUAGAUAUGUUCAUCGUAUGGAAAAAUACACCAAACUAAAGCUUACUCACGAUGGACCGGUGGUUCGAGAUAAAAUUAAAGUGCUAUACCCCUUGACGACGACAGUGUUGCAAACGAUUUUGGCCGCCCCUACCUAGUGUCUUAAGAUUUUGGGUAAAAGUAUGGUGUCAAACCCACUUGUUAAGUUGUUCUUAAUUUCAAUGUGAAUGAUCCCCAAUUGUCCUUGUAAUCCAACAGAAAAUGGAUUUCGUUUUUAUAAUCUUAAUAUAAUCAUCCCCUUUAUCUAGAAACUUGUAAUAUUGCUCUUGUUCAAUAAUCUACGAAACACAUAAAAGUUUGGCUUUUGACGAAAUAAAUAAUAAAUUUGACGUAAAACAUAACAUAGUAUAGUAUAAUAUAAUGAAAAUUAAAUUAAUAUUUUAGAAUUACAAUUAACAAUUAUAUUUAGAGCAUAUGAAAUAAUAAUAAUAAUAAUAAUAAUAAUAAUAAUAAUAAUAAUAAUAAUAAUAAAAGAUAAAAUUAAACUAAUAAGAAGUAUUAAAAAAAUUAAAAAUUAACAAAUAAUAAGUUAAGUAAUAUAUCAAUCUAAUAAAUAAAAAAUUAAAUUAUAUGUAUGCAGUUUGGUUCGGUUUCGAUCGUUUUUGAAAAAUUAAUUCAAAAUCCAAUCUAACAAUUUUUACAAAAGGAGAUCUAAGUGACAUCUUUGUUUACACUAUCAAUAGAGAACGCACGUUUCACGCAGUCACAAUUAGAAGAAAUGCACUUCCGAGUUAAUGGCCUAUGACAUGCCUUUGUUUCACAAUCUUCGUCCUGUCCGCAAGGCCAUGGAUUACCUACAACGUCAAAUAAAAAUAAAAGACCGUUAAUUACUAUAGGUAGUCAAAUAUUGUGUAUAUGGAGUAUAAUUAUUAUUUUUUUUGGGAAAAACAGUAUAUGGAGUAUAAUAUAAAAGAAAAUUUAAAUAUAGUGUGAAGAAAUGACUUACGAGAUGGCGUUCUGAAGCCAUCGAGUACAACAAGAAAUAUAGACAUAAAGAUUAUCAAAGUAUAAAUAAACUUGAGAAGUAGUUUUGUCAUAUUUUUUCUCAUUUGCAUGCAAUAAACUGAAAA
rnacentral:lncRNA from 1 species